rnacentral:lncRNA from 1 species
GUUUUCGUUAGUGGGGGUUCCACUUGGGCUGAGACGUCCCUCCAUCUCUGCGCGUACUGUCUAAAAGUUUCUGACGGCUUUUUCUCCAUCAUUUGUAAAGUCAUCCGAUCAGGCACCAUAUCUGAUACAUGCUUGUACUGCUCAUAGAAUACCGACGCCAAGUCUUUCCAAGAUCGGAUCCUUUCCUUACUGAGCUGGUUGUACCACCGAAGAGCCGAUCCUACUAGACUAUCUUGAAAACAAUGUACAAGUAGC